rnacentral:rRNA from 1 species
GACGAACGCUGGCGGCGUGCUUAACACAUGCAAGUCGAACGGUGAAGCGCCUUCCUUUUUGGUGGGUGUGGAUGAGUGGCGAACGGGUGAGUAACACGUGAGUAACCUGCCCCCUUCUUCUGGAUAACCGCAUGAAAGUGUGGCUAAUACGGGAUAUUCUGGGUCUGUCGCAUGAUGGGUCUGGGAAAGAUAUUGUUUCGGUGGGGGAUGGGCUCGCGGCUUUUCAGCUUGUUGGUGGGGUGAUGGCCUACCAAGGCGGUGACGGGUAGCCGGCCUGAGAGGGUGGACGGUCACACUGGGACUGAGACACGGCCCAGACUCCUACGGGAGGCAGCAGUGGGGAAUAUUGCACAAUGGGCGCAAGCCUGAUGCAGCGACGCCGCGUGAGGGAUGGAGGCCUUCGGGUUGUGAACCUCUUUCGCCAGUGAAGCAGGCCUGCCUCGUUUGUGGGUGGGUUGACGGUGGCUGGAUAAGAAGCGCCGGCUAACUACGUG